rnacentral:sRNA from 1 species
GUCUGUACGAUUACGCGUGAUCGCUCUGUAUUUUGAGGCAGCCUGAGAAGGAGUUGACGGACUCGGACUUCUCCCCUGCCACCCUGGGAGACGUCCCAGGGAU